GCACGUGUAGCUCAAUCGGCUAGAGCACGCGCCUUAUAAGCGCGAGGUUGGCGGUUCGAGCCCGCCCACGUGUA
rnacentral:tRNA from 1 species